rnacentral:rRNA from 1 species
UUGCUCCUACGGGACGCAGCAGUGGGGAAUAUUGCACAAUGGGGGAAACCCUGAUGCAGCGACGCCGCGUGAGUGAAGAAGUAUUUCGGUAUGUAAAGCUCUAUCAGCAGGAACGAGACAAGACGGUACCUGACUAAGAAGCCCCGGCUAACUACGUGCCAGCAGCCGCGGUAAUACGUAGGGGGCAAGCGUUAUCCGGAAUCACUGGGUGUAAAGGGAGCGUAGACGGCUGAGCAAGCCUGAAGUGAAAGGCAGGGGCGCAACCCCUGGACUGCUUUGGGAACUGUACGGCUGGAGAGCAGGUG